CGGUAGCUCAGUUGGAUAGAGUAACUGGCUACGAACCAGUAGGUCGGGGGUUCGAAUCCCUUCCGGC
rnacentral:tRNA from 1 species